rnacentral:rRNA from 1 species
GUCGAGCGGAAACGAGUUAUCUGAACCUUCGGGGAACGAUAACGGCGUCGAGCGGCGGACGGGUGAGUAAUGCCUAGGAAAUUGCCUUGAUGUGGGGGAUAACCAUUGGAAACGAUGGCUAAUACCGCAUGAUGCCUACGGGCCAAAGAGGGGGACCUUCGGGCCUCUCGCGUCAAGAUAUGCCUAGGUGGGAUUAGCUAGUUGGUGAGGUAAUGGCUCACCAAGGCGACGAUCCCUAGCUGGUCUGAGAGGAUGAUCAGCCACACUGGAACUGAGACACGGUCCAGACUCCUACGGGAGGCAGCAGUGGGGAAUAUUGCACAAUGGGCGCAAGCCUGAUGCAGCCAUGCCGCGUGUAUGAAGAAGGCCUUCGGGUUGUAAAGUACUUUCAGCAGUGAGGAAGGGGGUGUCGUUAAUAGCGGCAUCUCUUGACGUUAGCUGCAGAAGAAGCACCGGCUAACUCCGUGCCAGCAGCCGCGGUAAUACGGAGGGUGCGAGCGUUAAUCGGAAUUACUGGGCGUAAAGCGCAUGCAGGUGGUUUGUUAAGUCAGAUGUGAAAGCCCGGGGCUCAACCUCGGAACUGCAUUUGAAACUGGCAAACUAGAGUACUGUAGAGGGGGGUAGAAUUUCAGG